GGCAAUCCUAAAUUUCCAUCUAUGGGAAGCUAGCAGGAUUUGGUCUUCAUAUUUAUAUUUUUCUAAAUGUUCAACUUUUGAGUAUGAGCCUCAUCUGGGUCUGGUCUUCCUGCAGCAGAUGUCACAGCCCAGUGGGCCCCCGCUCCCAGCUGCAUUUACCUGUUCCGAAACCCCAGUCGGAUCUCGUCAAAAAUGGACUUGUGCUCACUGGGGCAUUGGUCCAUUUGCCAGGCUGACUGCAUCCCUAGAACUGGCAGCCAUCUUACAACUGUGUACUUUGCUCAUCAUCACAGGAGUUUGUUUCGCCAGACCCAUCUCCAGGAAACCCAAGAGGACAAAAAGAAGUCACAAUACCGAGAAACAAAAUGACCUCGGGCAAUGUGUAGUGAAAUCAAUUCCACCCUUAAAGGAUGCACA